GCGGCGCGCGGCCGGCUCCAGGGAGGGACGCGGAAGCGCCAGGCUCCGGGGGCGGAGAAGUCUUCAUGGGUUUGAGGCGGCGGCGGCCGAGCGACGGCCUGUCCCGGAGAGUCGGGGCACUCGGCGGGUAGGAUCACUUGGUCAGUGGGCAAUGGAGAGCGGGGUGAGUGCGGGCGGCCAGGCCCCGAGCCCGGGCCUGGGGCUCCACCGCUUCCCGAACGGCUGCACCCCUCUUAGCCACCAGGUCGCCGGACACAAGUAUGGGAAAUCGGAGCUGGGUAUGUUACAACAUCCAGAUGGGACGGUAUUAAAACAGUUGCAACCACCUCCUCGUGGACCCAGAGAGAUGAAUUUCUACAACAUGGUAUUUGGUUCUUCGUGUCAUGAUCAGGUAUUCUUGGAACUUCGUAAAUUCCUGCCACAGUUCCUUGGUACUUGGGCACCAUCAACUGCACCUAAUGAAUUGUAUCUUAAACUGGAAGAUGUGACGCGUUGUUUCAGCAAGCCAUGCAUCAUGGAUGUUAAAAUUGGGAAAAAGAGUUAUGACCCCGAUGCUUCAGCUGAGAAAAUACAACAACAGAUCAGCAAAUACCCACUGAUGGAAGAAAUUGGCUUCUUGGUUCUUGGCAUGAGGGUCUACCAGUUUUCAUCUGAUAGCUACGUGGCAUAUGACCAGCACUAUGGAAGAGGCUUAACAAAGGAAACUUUGAAAGAUGGUCUGUCUAAAUUCUUCCACAAUGGAAGCUAUUUGAGGAAAGAUGCGGUGGCUUCAAGUAUUCAAGAGAUUAAAAAGAUAUUGCACUGGUUUGAGAGGCAAAGUAAGCUCUGUUUUUAUGCAAGCUCCUUACUGUUUGUGUAUGAGGGAUCAUCAGAGCUGAGAGCGACAGGUAACAAAGCUGACAAACCAGCAGCACCAAAGGGUAUACGGAGAACUGGAGAGCUGAUGGAAUACAACAACAACAUUCAUGUGAUGGACUCUACUGAGAACGGAAUAGUAGAAGCCUCGGUUGGUCAAAGCCUCUCCAAUAUGUAUGCACUUCACAGGAAGGGUUGUUUCCGUGCACACCAAAGUGUGGUCCCACUACAGCUGAAGAAUACAGAACAAGACCAUGGGAUAUGCAAGUGCUUAACUCUCAUUCCACCUGGUCAGCCAAAUGGCAAUGAAAUGAACCAAUUGGAGAAAGAUUUCAUUCAUGCAUCGAGCAUGGUUCCAGAGCCUCCAGAAGUUGCUGUAAGAAUGAUAGACUUUGCACAUGUGUUUCCUAGCAACACAAAAGAUGAAGAGUAUAUAUAUGGGCUGAAACACUUAAUCAGUGUGUUACAAAAUAUGCUGGAUGAUUAAUUUUUUAAAAAAUAUUGGUGGGUAGAUUGUUGGCAAGCAAAUAAAUGCAGGGGAAUUAUAUUGAUUUCUGCACAAGUUUUGAUCCAUCAUUUUGUGUUUAUAAUGUGAUUCCAGGUGUACUGUUUGCUUCUUUCACUGUACAGUACUACUUGUGAUUGAUUUGAUGUUUAUAAUAGCUCAGGAAAAUUUAUCAACUCAUCAUUGACAGCCGCUGAAACAGGGCCAGAAACCUGCAGAGGGCAGCUCACGCCUUGUAACUACUGACAAGGAAAUUUAUGAGUUCCCGCUGUUUGUAACAAACCCACAGACUUCAGUGAUGAUAAUUGGUUUUUCGGAUAUGUAACCAACUGCCUGCCAAUCCUAGGCAUGGAACUUGUGCCUAUGGAAUAUUCUAUCUUCAGUGAAGACCAGGGCAAGGCAGCACCCCAGCAGUAUUUAAAGGGACUGUUUACAAAUGGGAAUGGAUAUCGGAAUGUAUAUCGUGGACAGCAGUCAUGACAUCUUGGUGGAAUCGCAAGGCACCUCCUUGGAUUUGAUCCUGAACUAGAGAUCCCCUGUCUCUAGUUCCAGCACGCCCCUGACUAGACAGGGUGCGAACUCGCAAAGUCCUGUUGGCCAGAGUCGGCUUGUCUGUCCUUGUGGGUAGGACUGGGUCUCCAGAAGGCUCCAGGUUACCCUGAACUGAGGUCUGCCCCUGUCGGGUGGUGGUUUCAGGAGAGCCUGGGUGUCAGAACACCACGCUGAAAAAAUACCCUCUUGCAAUGACUGGACCAAGCAAUGAUCCUCUCUUCCUUCUAUUCACAGGAGGGUCACACUGGGACAGCCAGGGAUCCCUGAGGAUCAGGGGUAUGAAAGGUGAUAUAGAAACUAAUAUCCUCCGUAUGAUCCUCAAUCCUCAUCAGCAAAACCAACGUCUGCUGCUGGAUCUGCCUGGAGCCUAGCAGAUGGCCAUCCAGGACAAUUGUGGACAUGGACAGGCUCAAUUCCUGCAGUGUUGUAUUGAGCUGACAGGUGGUCCCUAAGUCCAGGAAAUUGCAAUCUGCCCCAGAGCCCACAAAAGCACUCACCUCUCUUCAGUUUUGACCUCAGGAGAUCUCCGCCCUCAGCAUGACACCAGAAUCCAUGGGGUUGGGAGCAGUGGCUGCUACCAUUACAGUCCUCCUGACACUGGACAAUCUUAGCAGUUCUCCCGAAGGCUGAAGCUUUGGACAAUCAGCCUGCAGGUGACCUGCUUCCCCGUAGUAAUAGAAGCCACCAGGACUCUGACACGGGACCCCUCAUCAGCGAAAAGUCCUCUGCAGCCGCUUUGCAUUGGUUCGACAGGAGACAGGCUGGUCAUUGUCCAAGAUGGGUGAGUGGAACUGCAAUGUGUUCAGGCUCGGGCUAGCCCUCUCCAACCUCUUGAAGCAGUCCCACAUUUGCUCCGCCAGAUGAUUACCAAGAUGGAUGGACUGGUUGAUAAAAACCUCUGAGUCCUCUGUGGGGUCUCCCAAAGCAAGGCAUCCUUCAGUGCGUCUUGGAGUUCAUGGUAGUACAGAAUGGUUAAGGCUUCCCCAUUUCAGCUGCUCUCUUGAGCCUAAGUACAAAACUUGAUGGCAUAGCUGGCCACUGAAUAUCUGCCCUGUCAUAUCUUCAUCAGACAGUCCAAGGCUCAUCUUGCUCCAUUGGGGUGAUGGGACACCUUCCUUAUGUUGGCCAUGGAUUCCUCUGAAUCCGAGCAAAUCUCUGACCUGCGUUCCUGAUGCGUGGUGGCCUGGGCCAGGGCUCUCCCAGUCAGGAGAGAGAUAAUGGAGGGCAUUUUUCCAUGCUCUGAAGGGAACCGUGAUGGCUGUACUGACCACCAAUGAGCAAUGAGCGAGGAAGCCGCGGCAAGAACCCAGGUCACCAUCAAAUCUCUCCACGGUCGGUAGAUGUAUCGACACUGCAGAGUGACUGACAGCCUCACCUGACCAACUCUGGCUUCCCCCCAGCGGAAGUUGGCACACAGUGACCUGGAGGUCAUGUAUUUCCAGGCUUGGUCUAGAAAUGCUCUCACUGUGGCCGGCCACAGCAGACAGAAGAUUAAUACCAUGUCUGGCUCAAUCAUACUGUGAUGAGAGACCUAGGUAAGAAUGGUUGAACCAAGUGCUGGAGUAUCUGAGGCAGAAAUGGAGACAUGAUGCGAGUCUGAAACAAGAACAGAAUACUAAAUUGGACGCUAGAUGAUAACUCAAGUAGAGCUGACCAUUGAGCACUGAAUCUCCAUUCACAUGUUCCUUAAACAUUGAAAUCCUGGCACCAAAACAUGGUUGCCAAUUAGAAGGAUGGUCCUGAAUCCUUAAAAGGACCAAGCCGGUUAUCCAUAUUCUGGAGAGUUAGUGUCAAAAUCUCAGAAGCUGGCAUGGCUGGUUGUAAGAUGUAAGUAAUAUUGAAAGAAUAUAGAGAAAUUUUACAGGAGCAAACACGAGGAAAUCUGCAGAUGCUGGAAAUUCAAAAAAUACACACAAAAUGCUGGUGGAACACAGCAGGCCAGGCAACAUCUAUAAGGAGAAGCACUAUCGACGUUUCGGGCAGAGACCUUUCAUCAGGACUAACUGAAAGGAAAGAUAGUAAGAGGUAUAAGAGAAAUUUUACAGGACCUAAGUUAGAAGGAAAAAUUGAAUAGGUUACACCUUUCUUCCCCAGAACAUAGAAGACUGAGGGGAAAUAUCAUAGAGGUAUACAAAAUUAUGAGGAGUAUAGAUAGUGUAAAUGCAAGCAGUCUUUUUCCACUGGGGUUGGUUAGACUAGAACUAGAGGUCAUGGGUUAAGGGUGAAAGAUGAAAUGUUUAAGGGGAACAUGAGGGGAAGCCUCCACAGUCAGAGAGUAGUAAGAGUGCAGAAUGAGCUACCAGCACAAGAAGUGGGAGCGAUUUUGAUUUCAGUGUUUGGAAAGAUACAUGAUGGGAGCAGUAAGGAGGGCUAUGGUCAAUGGGACUAGGCAGUUUAAAUGGUUCAGCAUUGAUUAGAUGGGCUGAAGGGCCUGUUUCUCUCCUGUAGUUUUCUAUGACUUUAUGACUCACAGCAUCCUAUCUGUCUUUGGAAUGUGUGAGGAGACCAGAGCACCAAGAGGAAAUGGGAUCGAGGGAGAACAUACAGCAUCUUUACGGUCAGCAGAGAGAAUUGAACCCAAUCAGUGACAGCCAAUACUAUAAAGUAACUGCACUAACUGCCAUACUAAUGUGUCAAUUCAGGAUGCUUACACUAGUAGGAGAGUUUAUGAUCCGAGGGUCACAAAUAAAGGGUCAUCUCUUUAAAAUAGAGAUCAGAAUGAGUUUCUUCAGACACAGGGUGGCGAAUGUGUAGAACACAUUGCUGAAGAGGGCGGUGGCGGCCAAACCAUUGGGUGCACUUAAGGCAGAGAUUAAUAAGGUUUUGAUUGGUCAAGGUGUUAAGACUUAUAGGCAGAAGGUUGUAGAAAGGGGUUGAAAAAAAUGUCAGCCAUUAUUGAAAGGUAGAACAGACUUGAUGAGCCAAAUGGCCUAAUUCUACUUCUAUUUAUGAUCUUACCAUUCAUAUGCCGCUGAAUGUAAGUAUAAACCUUUGAUUCCAAAUCUUCAUCAACAAUUAUGAGAAAGGCAUAAGAACACCAUAGGAUCAUAAGACCAUUUGAUAUAAGAGCAGAAUUAGGGCAUUUGGCUAAUCAAGUCUGCUCUGCCAUUUCAUCAUGGCUGAUACAAUUUUCCUCUUAGCCCCAAUCUCCUGCCUUCUCCCUAUAUCCCUUUAUGCCCUGACCAAUCAAGAAUCUAUUAAUCUCUGGAUUAAAUAUACAUUAAGACUUGGCUGCAUUAAAUAUACAUAAAGACUUUGCCUCCAGAGUGCCCUUGGCAAAGAAUUCCACAGAUUCACCACUCCCUGGAUAAAGAAAUUCCUCCUCAUUUCCAUUCUAAAAGAACACCCUUCUAUUUGAAGCUGUAUCCUCUGUUCUUAGACUCUCCCACCACAGGAAACAUCUUCUCCGCAUCCACUCUAUCAAGGCCUUUCACCAUUUGAUAGGUUUCAAUGUGGUCACCCCUCAUUCUUCUGAGGUCCAGUGAAUACAGGCCCAGAGCCAUCAAACACUCUUCAUAUGACAAGCCAUUCAAUCAUGGAAUAUUUUUCAUGAAUCUCCUUUGAACCAUCUCCAGUUUCAGCACAUCCUUUCUAAGAUAGGGGGCCCAAAUCUGCACACAUUACUCCAAGUGAGGCCUCACCAGUGCUUUAAAACUUUCAACAUUACAUCCUUGCUCUUGAAAUGAAUGCUAACAUUGCAUUCCUGCAACCUCAACCUGCAAGUUAACCUUAAGGGAAUCCCAAGCCUCUUUGCAACUCAGUUUUUAUAUUUUCUCUCCAUUUAGAAAAUAGUCAACCCUUUCAUUUCUUCCACCAAAGUGCAUGACCGUACACUUCCUGACACAAUAUUCCAGCUGCCAUUUCUUGGCCCAAUCUGCUUCAGUCCUUAUGUAGCCUCUCUACUUCCUCAAAACUACCUGCCUCUCCACCUAUCUUCAUAUUGUCUGCAAACUUUUCAACAAAGCCAUCAAUUCCCUCAUCUAAGCAUUGACGAGUAACAUAAAAAGAAUUGAUUCCAACAUUGACCCCUGUGGAACACCACUAGUCACUGGCAACCAGCCAGAAAGGCUCCCUUUAUUCCCACUCAAAGACACAAAACUGGAGUCUGCUGGGAAAUGCUGAACACCACAGUCAGUAUUUACUCCUCAGGACGUGCCAGCAGUUGAUUGUUCCUGUGUGAAUUUGGUAAGUCAAGAACACCAUGAAUUCAACCUCAGACCAUAUCCCAAAAACUGUUGCAGGAGUUCUCUAGCAAUUUUAGGAUUUCUCAUGGAGUUCAAUGGUGGAUCAUGAAUUUUCUGCCAUUCCUUGAAUGCAGAAUGUGGUAAUUUGUCACUGACCUUGGAAUGAACUGUUCAUGAAUGGUGUGACUACUCAUUUGAACAGAGAGAUCUUGC